rnacentral:rRNA from 1 species
ACAACAGGGAUUGCCCUAGUAACGGCGAGUGAAGCGGCAACAGCUCAAAUUUGAAAUCUGGCUCUCGGGCCCGAGUUGUAAUUUGUAGAGGAUGCUUUUGGUGCGGUGCCUUCCGAGUUCCCUGGAACGGGACGCCAUAGAGGGUGAGAGCCCCGUCUGGUUGGAUGCCAAUCCUCUGUAAAGCUCCUUCGACGAGUCGAGUAGUUUGGGAAUGCUGCUCUAAAUGGGAGGUAUAUGUCUUCUAAAGCUAAAUACCGGCCAGAGACCGAUAGCGCACAAGUAGAGUGAUCGAAAGAUGAAAAGAACUUUGAAAAGAGAGUUAAAAAGUACGUGAAAUUGUUGAAAGGGAAGCGCUUGUGACCAGACUUGGGCUUGGUUGAUCAUCCAGGGUUCUCCCUGGUGCACUCUUCCGGCUCAGGCCAGCAUCAGUUUGCCUCGGGGGAUAAAGGCUUCGGGAAUGUGGCUCUCUCCGGGGAGUGUUAUAGCCCGCUGCGUAAUACCCUGUGGCGGACUGAGGUUCGCGCAUUCGCAAGGAUGCUGGCGUAAUGGUCAUCAGUGACCCGUCUUGAAACACGGACCAAGGAGUCGUCUUCGUAUGCGAGUGUUCGGGUGUCAAACCCCUACGCGAAAUGAAAGUGAACGCAGGUGAGAGCUUCGGCGCAUCAUCGACCGAUCCUGAUGUUCUCGGAUGGAUUUGAGUAAGAGCAUACGGAGCCGGACCCGAAAGAAGGUGAACUAUGCCUGUGUAGGGUGAAGCCAGAGGAAACUCUGGUGGAGGCUCGCAGCGGUUCUGACGUGCAAAUCGAUCGUCAAACAUGGGCAUGGGGGCGAAAGACUAAUCGAACCUUCUAGUAGCUGGUUCCGC